GCUAGCAGCUAGCUCUCUGUAACUCUCACUUGGCCGCCCACUGAAGCUAAGCAGGGCUGCUCCUGGUCAGUACCUGGACGGGAGACCACAUGGGAAAGCUAGGUAGCUGCCGGAA
rnacentral:rRNA from 1 species